UCGGAACCUCCCCCCCCCUAACCAUAGAGACAUCCUCAUAGUUCCCCCCUUUCACUCUCUGCUUCGCCGCCACCGGAAAUCACCUCAUGGCGGCGGCACCACUCCAAACCUCCCCAAAUUUUCACUCCGUAACCCUCAUCUCAUCUCAUAUCUCUUUUUAGAUUCCUUCAAAACACCUCAGAUUUCCCCAAUUUUCAGAUCUAAAAACCCCAGAAAAAACCCUAUUCAUUCUUUGUUGAUUAUCUAUGAAGGUCGGCCCAUUUUAGGUUGAAACUGGCCUCAAUCGAUCACUCUCAAUGAGAGCUAUUGAUUGAUGGUGAUUUUAUUCCAUCUCCUUUAUUGCCCGAAUUUCAUCAAACUCAGACCAUCGCCCAGUUUUCUUCCGAAAAUUUUGUCUCUUUUAAAAAUUAGGCUAGCAAUUAGCAUUGUUAUUGUAGAACUUCCUCAUGUAUGCUGGAAUCCGGGCUUGUUUGCUUUAUCGGAGUCAGUGUUUGUUCGAGUUCAACCCAAAUAGGUAUAAUUCAUUCCUCUCUUUCUUCGUUUGUCCUUUUACUAUUUUUCAAUCCUCUUGAUUCUUUGUGAAUGUCCGAUUUGGUUUAAUCUAAAUGUUUAGAGUCAGUUUCUACUUGAAUUGAUUAGUUUAAAUUGAAUAUUAUUUUAAUUAGCAUGCUUUAGUCAAGGAUUGACUCGGUGGAUUCACGUUUAGUUUUGUGUUGGCUUAUUUGUUGUUAAUUUGGUUUAGUUAAUUGCUGCGUAUUAAUUGUUUAUUUUUUGUUAAAGUAAAAAUAAAGAGCAGUAAUUUUGGAAUGAAUAUUGUAAAUAAUGGGGUAAAAGAAAUUGGUAAACAAAAGAAGACAUUAGCUAGGAUUUGAGGGGGCUAAAGGAAAUAGAAUUAUAAGAGAAUCAUUCUGUUAGGUAGUUGAGAUAUUUCUAGAACAGUGCAGUAGGGAUUAAAAUGCAAAAGAACAAAGGAAUUAAAUCAAAUUUGGGGGUAAAAAGGGGUAAAUUCAGAAGAUACAAGGGCUGAAAAAAUAUCUGAAUGGACAGUUGUCCAACAGCUAUCCAAUUCAGUUUUAAAAGAUGUCUUUUCUCCUUAUUUUUAGGGACUGCAUUCCCCAGAAUUAUUCCCUCACAUUUGCGUAUAUAAGAGACCUCACACUCCCUCACACACAGGCAUUAUUUUCUGCAUAUUCACUCACUCAAAAGAAAACUGAUAUAAGAUGAAAUUUGAAAGAAACGUUCUUAGUAUUCAACUUCAAAAAAUCAAAAAAAAGGGAAGGAGAUACAAAGUUGUUUUCGAAUUCUAGCAUGUUUGAUUGAUAUUUUUUGGGAUCUCAAAAGACUUUCAUGCUAUUAGGAUUGCUGUUUUUGCUGGGUUGGAAUCUGUUUCCUCUACUUGCCGAACUUGACAUCAUCUCUACUUCGUUUUUCUUCCUUAACUAAUUCAUUUCAAAGCCUUUAUUUGGCUGUGUUAGAUUGUUGAUAUCUUUAGGUAUGUAGACUUGUAUUCUGCUUUGGUUUGUAUUUAAGUAUGGGCUGUUUUAUCUGAAGUUAUCUGCUGCAUUUGUUUAAAUUUAUUGUAUGUUCGGUUUUUGCACAUGAAUUGAAUGCUUAGCUUUAAUAUAGUAACUACAUGAAGGUUCUGUUAUUUUGCCUAUGAGAAACAUGUUGAUUUCGGAGAUUUAAUGACUAAAAGAUGCUGGAAAUCCGCUUGUUACAAUUAGAAUUCAGUUUAUGUGUUGUAUUAAUAGUUAUAUACUGCUCAAUUUGAGAUUGGACUGUUGAAAUCUAAGUCUCUUUCUUUUCGUGCUAGUAAGAUGUGCAAGUUUGGAUUCGUGUGAUCAAAGAUGGUAUAUCACUAUUGAAGAAUUUUAUGCCUAGAUUACCUUUAUUUGAAUUGAUAGUGAAUAGUGUUUCAAUACUACUAUUUUAGACAUGACCCAAAUUCUUUUCCGUAUUAAGUAUAUGAUUGAAACAAUAUUAUUUCUUCAUUAGAGUGUUGGCUCACGAAAUUAAUGGUGUAAUUUUGAUUUGAUGUUGGCAUGUGGAGGUUGUCGUUGGAUUUGAUCACCAGUUGAUCAAAUCCAUUAUUGGAUAGAUUUCGAGUACAAAUCGGGCAGUAACAAAGAGAACAAAUGCUUAUUAUAGUUGUAAUUUAAUUGAAAGGCCAUUUAGGUGUAAUUUGGGUUUCUCUUUGUAUGAACAGUUUCUCUUUAAUUCCUGAGUAUUUAUUUCUUUUAUAUAUGGUUCGAUUCAGUAUUAUGAAUGUUUAAACAAAUGCUUCAUUCCAUCUUUAAUAAUCAGAAACCAAAGGAGACCAGGCAUCUGGAAGUGCACAGUCACAAUAAAAAACCAAAUUGAGUCAAUUUGGGCCAUAGCCCAACAUGUUAUCCAAAUUUAAAGAAUCCAAUGGACUCUAAAUUUGUUGGUUCCCUAAUUGUUGGCAUGCCCUCAAUAACCUGUCAUC
rnacentral:lncRNA from 1 species